UAAUUUGGUUUGGCUCUUGCUAACAUUUACCCAAUGAAAGAAUUUGGUUUCACAGAGUUAUGAUAGGAAUAUGGUUUCACAGAGUUAUGAUAGGUCUACGUCGACCUAUCAGGAUUUUCAAGUGACUUAGUCUAGGGAGUAGUGAACUAGUUGGAGAUAGUUAGAUAUCACUGAGGAUCUAUUGUUGGAGAUACUAGUGAAAUUACCAGUGAAACAGGUGACGAGGGCAAUGCGCGUCUCACAACACUGGUAUUCCGUAAUCUCCUCCAGCUAUUUUACCUAUCGUUUCCUUGAAUCACCAGCAUCGUCGAAACGACCACGUUUGCUCAUGUCUCUUGUGGACGAGGAAGACCAGAACAGGUAUGAUUUUCUUUCAUCAACGUCCAUUAAUGAUCGCGGAGAUACGUCUAUGUUCGAUGAAAUUCUGAAGAUGCCGGGAUGGGA